rnacentral:rRNA from 1 species
AUACGUAGGGUGCGAGCGUUGUCCGGAAUUACUGGGCGUAAAGAGCUCGUAGGUGGUUUGUCGCGUCGUCUGUGAAAUUCCGGGGCUUAACUCCGGGCGUGCAGGCGAUACGGGCAUAACUUGAGUACUGUAGGGGAGACUGGAAUUCCUGGUGUAGCGGUGAAAUGCGCAGAUAUCAGGAGGAACACCGGUGGCGAAGGCGGGUCUCUGGGCAGUAACUGACGCUGAGGAGCGAAAGCAUGGGUAGCGAACAGGAUUAGAUACCCUGGUAGUCCAUGCCGUAAACGGUGGGCGCUAGGUGUAGGGGUCUUCCACGACUUCUGUGCCGUAGCUAACGCAUUAAGCGCCCCGCCUGGGGAGUACGGCCGCAAGUCUAAAACUCAAAGGAAUUGACGGGG